CCAAUACUAUCUUGCCCAUGAUGUUGCCAGACAACCUCUUUAAAUUGUCUUCAUGCUGAAUUUCUUAAGAUGUAGCUGAUGCUGUUUUUGUAAAUACAGGUGAUUCACAUGGAUUAUGGGAUGAAGGAGCAAAAUCCCAUCAACAACGUGCGCUUUUACUGCAAAUCUGACCCACUGCAAGCUAUAAAGAUAAGAAAAGAUCAGGUUAGUGCAAGGUGCUGUGUAAUGAGCGGCUAUUCAUAAGGGAGAAAAAGGGUGGGGGGGUUGUUAUGUGCUACACCCUACUGCUUGUAAUGUAAAGAAAAAUUAUACAGAAGUAAAAACAGAAGCAAUGGACUACGAGCCAUUAUACCGAUAUGUAAUCCAACCUAAACAUGGCACCUAGUGUGUGAUUGCACGAAACGUCCUUUUAAGCCAAUAGACUAACUUUGUGCCAGUGUUAUUCUGAAUGUGCAUGUAUUUUGUGCACUGCAUAAACUAGUAGAGUAGUGUUAAACCAUAUUGUCCAAAUGUUUUUCAACAAGUCCUUUAAUUCUCGGUUGAGCAUAGGCUAAUGUGUGGUAGUGGUAUUAUGGGUUUUGGAAUUGUGUUGUAUUAGAAAAAAAUACAAUCUACAUGGAAUUAUGCUGUUUCUCGAUUUUAUCUAAUGGCUGAUAAACCGGACAAUACAAAAAAAUGUAGGUAGCUGAACUUUAUAUUUGUUUUGCUAUCAUUAUAAAUACUUUUUAUUUUUUUUCUCCCAUCUAAUUUUUAGAAUGUCUUCUUUUCUACAUAUUUGUAGCCUAUACUAGAAUAGUAAACUUUUAAAUGUCUUGUAACUUUCUAAAAGGUCUCACAGCUUUUGCCAGAGAAAUUUGCUGAGCAAAUUAUACGUGUUUACUGCAAGCUAGCUGAUCAAAAGAGCCUUGAAGCUGCGAAGAGAUAUUUCAUCCAGUGGUGCAUGAACAGGGACUUCUCAAAACCUCAGGUUUGUAACUGUAAUUUUGUGUAGCAUUCUGUAAUUGAAAAGAAGCCAGGGAUCACAGGAGUACCACAACUGAGAGUACCACUAUUUGUUGUUGCAGGAUGGAGAUGUAAUUGCUCCAGACAUGACUCCACUGAAAGCCAGCUGGGUCAACGAUGAUGAUGAAGAGGAUGGCCAUGAACUAAAACAGAGGAGGGCAGAUGCAAUGAAAUCUAGGACCAAACUUUUUGUAAAGUAAUACUCCUCCAAGAAAAUUGUUUAGAAUGAGAAUGUUAUGGUUCUUCAGUUUGUUCCUUCAACCGUGAUCUACAGAGCCUUCUGCGGGAGUACUGUGGACAUUGUAACAGGAUAUGUGUUUUUUCUCGUUCAGUCUCCUAGAUUUAAGAAUUGUGACAAAACUUGCUAAUGUUUCCAAAAAACAAACCAAAAACAUUUUAUAUAUAUAUUUUUAUAAUUCUUUUUUUUUUAAAAACCACAUAAUUUUGUGUAUUUUCAUACACAUACUGGAUUGUGGUCUCCACCCCCCAUUUGGUUACUCAGUGCAGUGAGAGUUGACCUUGAUGGAACAUGGGAAAAUAUAGUUCAUGCUAAAUGUUUGCCAAUUCUGCACUAGAGCAUACUGUGAAUGUAUCUAUUAAUGGAACCUAGAGCUCCUGUAUUGGUAUGCAAAUUGCUGGUGAAAGGCUUUGCAUACUCGUAUAUGAGGGGCUAAAAUUGGGCAGUUGAAUCAUGAACACUCAUUUUAUUUAUGAUUUUUAAAAUCUAUUUUUAAUUUUUUCUAUUUUUUUUUUUGUAAUUGCACAAUGAGGUCUCAAUAUUAUGUAUAAAUUGUGACAGUUCACGAACUGUCAAAUUAUAGGCUGUAAGAAACAUCUACACCGUUCUUUACUAAAGUGAAGUGUUGUGAAUCAAAGUGGAUGUCAAAUUUAAGCUGUAAGUUUGGCUACAUCGGCUUUACUUAUCACUUUGGUAUAUAAUCCUGCUAGAUCAGCGGUUCCCAAACUGUGUUCCCAAACCCCACAGGGGUGCCGCCAAAUGUUCCCAAUGAUGAUCAUCUGAUUACAACAGUGGGAACCAUGCCUCCCUUUCCUCUGCAGGACUGGAAGGGAGAUCAGAGAUCCCCCUCACCAGCCCGCUAGCACUGUAUUGCUGCAGCCGGCAGUGGAGGGGAGGGAGAGAGGAAGAGAGUACCCGGGGGAGCUCUAACCUGCAGCUCCACCUGGUUCUUCUCUCUGGAGCUUGGAGCAUUUCGGUUACCACUGCAACGUUAUGAAUCUUGCAAGAGUAAACUUUAGCCUCAGGAGCUGCUAGAGUUCACUCUCCCCACUGGGACCACCGGGGGUUCUCCUUUGGACCACCAGGGAUUGCAGAAAAUGUACCCCCCUCCCUGAACAAAGGUAAGAAGGUGGGGGGGGGAGGAUAUGAAAAGUGUUAUGUUUUUUUUAUAUAUAUACAUUCACACAUAUACUCCCCUCCUACCCCCACAAUAACUCACCCUCCCUACACACACGCACUGCCCCCCAUAGACCUGCACUGUAACCCUCACACGCACUGCCCCCCAUAGACCUGCACUGUAACCCUCACACGCACUGCCCCCCAUAGACCUGCACUGUAACCCUCACACGCACUGCCCCCCAUAGACCUGCACUGUAACCCUCACACGCACUGCCCCCCAUAGAUGCGCACUGUAACCCUCACACGCACUGCCCCCCAUAGAUGCGCACUGUAACCCUCACACGCACUGUACCCUACACACGCGCACUAGCCCUCACGCACUGCCCCCUAUAGACCUGCACUGUAGCCCACACGCACUGCCCCCACAUAGACAUGCACUGUAGCCCUCACACGCACUGUAUCCCCAGGCACGUGCACUGUACCGCACGGCACUACCCCCAUAGACACGCACUGUAGCACCCACACACACACUAUACCCCACAAACACACUGUAUCACUCAAUACACAAACACUGUGCCCUGCACGUGCGCACACACUGCACCUCUAGCGUACACACAUACAUUGCACCGCAACACACACACACACACACACACACACACACACACACACACACACACAACUGCACCUAUCCCCUUUACCGGCAGACCCCAGGUAAGUUGUCAAACUGUUCUUAAACAGUUUGACUACGUACCCUGGGAGAGCACCCUGGCACCGUAACCACUACAGAGUUCUGUAGUGCUUCUUGUGCCUGGAUUGUUUCUUUAAGUAAUCUACCAGUGCCCCUCCCAAGAUUAGGUUCUGGAUCUUCCUUUGACAGGGAAAUAUUUCUACAGGGGCCCAGUAUAUGCUGUACAUGUAUAUAACCUAAAAAUUUGUUUGACUUGGGGCGCCUUGGAAAAAUAUUGAAAUAUUAAGGGCGCCUUGAACCUAAAAAGUUUGGGAACCUCUGUGCUAGAUGUUUGUUUAUGCACAACAGUAUUGACUAAUUUCAAACGUUAAGGUUUAUUAUUUUUUAUUUAUAGGGCAAGUUAAUUUGUUUUAAGUGGGUUUUCACUACUGCAAAUAUCAGAAUUAAGUUAUUUCUGGUUAAUGGAAGGAUUAAAAAGUCUGUUCAAUCACUAGAACUGAUCUUAUUUAUAUAGUGUAUAGUGGUUAGGACUGACCAAAAGUGGCCAGGGAUAAGCUCACUUGGUAGCUUAUACAGAACAAUUCACUAGAUUCAAAUUAAGCUCCUGGAGGUACAACCAAAGUGUUUUCAAUUAUGGCACUAACAACUCACAGCUCGUUACUCCUAUAUCCAUAUUUGCACCCCAUGUAUAGCAGUGAUUUAACAUGCUUUCCUGAUGUUCAAUGUGGAACAUCUUAAAGUGAACAGUGUUAACACAAAGAAUGUAUAGUUGGUUAUUUUAUUUAAUUGAAGCUUGAUUCUGCCUCCCGGAAGUAUGGAGCUGUAUUGGAUACAAGUUCCUUUUUAGUUGCCUAAAGCUUACUUCUACCUAUUCAAAUAUGAUGGCUGCAACAGAAGUAUAGAUUUACCCCUGUCCCAGAGUGCAAAUUACAAUGCUGCACUCUGGUCAUUGUGGAUGAUUCUUCACCAUAGGGAAAAAAAAUCAGAAACAAAAAUGACAAGGUGUCACUGUAGAUGAAGAAAAAAAAAAA